rnacentral:rRNA from 1 species
GACGAACGCUGGCGGCGUGCUUAACACAUGCAAGUCGAACGGAAAGGCCCUGCUUGCCGGGUACUCGAGUGGCGAACGGGUGAGUAACACGUGGGUGAUCUGCCCUGCACUUCGGGAUAAGCCUGGGAAACUGGGUCUAAUACCGGAUAGGAGCCAUUUUUAGUGUGAUGGUUGGAAAGUUUUUUCGGUGUAGGAUGAGCUCGCGGCCUAUCAGCUUGUUGGUGGGGUAAUGGCCUACCAAGGCGGCGACGGGUAGCCGGCCUGAGAGGGUGGACGGGCACAGUGGGACUGAGAGACGGCCCAGACUCCCACGGGAGGCAGCAGUGGGAAAGAUUGCACAAUGGGCGCAAGCCUGAUGCAGAGACGCCGCGUGGGGGAUGACGGCCUUGGGGUUGGAAACGCAUUUCGCUAGGGACGAAGCUUUUUGUGACGGUACCUAGAUAAGAAGCACCGGCUAACUACGUG